CUUGCCAACUCACUGAGGGGCUCUACCGGAGCAGCUUCAAAAGCAUUGGUUCCUAAACAAAUGCAGUGCAUUAAGAAGGAGUUAGGAGCUCUUUACAGAUCAAGAAAAGAAAACCUUUAUCUAUAAUAAAAAUUGCAGGCUUUUCUCCCAGUUUGUUUUUUGAACAUUCCACAUGUUUUCCUAGAGUGAUUAUGAAUUCCUUACAUGGAUGGAUAACUAAAUAGACGGAUGAAAUGGCAGUGUUCCAGGAUUAUACAAGAACCUUUAUAGAACUGACUGGAUGAAAGGUCAGGGAUGCUAGCUGGCCCCAGUCCACCCAAAUAAGAGGUAUCCCAGUAUGAACCAUUGGUGAGAAGAAGAAAAUUUUUUCCAGUCCCCUUGCAUACAUCA